rnacentral:rRNA from 1 species
UACAGAGGCCCCAAGCGUUACUGAGAAUCACUGGGUUUAAAGGGUGCGUAGGUGGAUUGGUAAGUCAGUGGUGAAAUCUCCGGGCUUAACCCGGAAACUGCCAUUGAUACUAUCAGUCUUGAAUACCGUGGAGGUCAGUAGAAUAUGUCAUGUAGCGGUGAAAUGCUUAGAUAUGACAUAGAAUACCAAUUGCGAAGGCAGCUGGCUACACGAAUAUUGACACUCAGGCACGAAAGCGUGGGGAUCAAACAGG